rnacentral:rRNA from 1 species
GACGAACGCUGGCGGCGUGCCUAAUACAUGCAAGUCGACCUUAGUUGCGACCGGGUGAGUAACACGUUGGUAACCUGCACAUCAGAAGGGGAUACCCCUUGGCAACAGGUGCUAAUACCGUCUAUUGAUGGAUGGACCCGUGUGGCAUUAGCUAGUUGGUGAGGUAAAGGUUCACCAAGGCCACGACGCAUAGCCGGCCUGAGAGGGUGGUCGGCCACAUUGGGACUGAGACACGGCCCAAACUCCUACGGGAGGCAGCAGUAGGGAAUCUUCGGCAAUGGACGAAAGUCUGACCGAGCAACGCCGCGUGAGUGAAGAAGGUUUUCGGAUCGUAAAGCUCUGUUGUUAGAGAAGCGGUAUCUAACCAGAAAGCCACGGCUAACUACGUGCCAGCAGCCGCGGUAAUAC